rnacentral:lncRNA from 1 species
CGGGAUCUUUCUAGGGGCUUCUGCACAAAACGGCCAUCACAGAGAUGAUGGUGGAUAGGAUUUCCGGGUUCUAUAGGGGCUGUUUACAAAACAUGCGGCUGAGUGGGCCUUUCGCUGACUUGGACGCCUGGUGCACGCCGCAUGGCUGUUUCGGCUGACGUGGUGCUGAUCGCGCUCGCGGACUCAUGAACCAUGCUGACUGGCCGGUUCAUGGGACCAUGGUGGACCGGUAACAGGCGGGGUGAAGGGGUACACCGGGAUUAAAUCUCGGCGGCCCACUGGCGAUCUAACGGCUGGGAAGGGCCGCUCCUAUGUGGUCGCCGAUGGGCAGAAGAACGCGGCGGCAGCUCGCCGGAGUUGAGGCGUGUGCGCGCUACAGGCAACCAUUUUCGACGUGGUUUGGACGGGGAGGGAGAGGGAAACGGGGCGCUUCUCUCCAAGGUGUUCUAG